UACGUAGGGACCAAGCGUUGUUCGGAUUUACUGGGCGUAAAGGGCGCGUAGGCGGUCAGCACAAGUCAGUUGUGAAAUCUCCGAGCUUAACUCGGAAAGGUCAACUGAUACUGUGCGACUAGAGUGCAGAAGGGGCAACUGGAAUUCUCGGUGUAGCGGUGAAAUGCGUAGAUAUCGAGAGGAACACCUGCGGCGAAGGCGGGUUGCUGGGCUGACACUGACGCUGAGGCGCGAAAGCCAGGGGAGCAAACGGG
rnacentral:rRNA from 1 species